GUGGCCACUGCGCAGGCGCCGGGCAGCUCGCCGCACUCCCGCUGCGUUUUUCCAAAAGUUGCAGUCCAGAGGGUGGACCACCAUCCAGCGCAGCUGCACACAACAGAGAAGGGAAAAGAAAACUCCCCGGGGGCUCCGCUGGCUUCUCUGAGAGUGACAGAGAUGCUUUCCCACUAGAAGCCCGGAAGCCUCCUCCUUUGCAAUCGGAUGAGGGCUGCAGUGUGCACCACUCAUUCUUAUAAAGCCCCUGCUAGGAAGAGCCAGUUGUGUUUGGGCCCGCGGUGCCUGGCCAUCCCCUUCCAGGCUGGAUUCUGCAGAGAUUUGUUUUCCAUCUUCUGGGUGCCUCCACCUGCACCUCUGCUCCUCCUCCCUGCCGGAUGGCCCCUGGUGAGUUCCUGAGUCAGCAAGGCUAUCAAGAAACCCGCAGAGGAGCAGCCAGACCCUUCUCUACUCUAAAAUGCCAGUUGAUUCCUAUCUAGGAGCAAAAGCCAAAGUUUCUACAUUGUGAAUAAAUUAGAAUAAAGGCAUUCAGGCUUCAGGAUGGAUGAUGAACUUUCAAAUAGGAAAGAGAUGGAAAAUCAUCAAAAUUACCAUAAACUGUGCUGCCAACUGAAUGCGUGUUUCUCUGUAGCAUAUGCAGAGUCGAGGACAGUUAUAUUCCCACAUUAUACAGUCUGCUAACCUAUUGUCUUAAUCCAGGUGACUCUUGAAAGUAGAGCCUGAGACAAAGGUAGAUGCAUACUCUAUAGGUGAAUGUGAUUCCAGGGAGCAGGAAUGAAAGAAAAAGGAGUGAACACGGGUAAAAUGGAAAGAAAAUCCAGGCAAAAUAGGUAGUGUUAUAGAGUAGUCUACCACAGUUAAUGGGUACUUCGCACAUGCAGAUCCUUCUAGAGAUUCUUACUCAGUUUUGUCUCAGAGUUGCCCACCCCUGAAGGAUGAAAGGGAGAAGCAUUUCUCUCUCCGCAGCCAUCUCCUCCUUGCCGAGGGCUGCUCCCAUAGGGUGUUAACGUCUCCAUCCCUGUGGGCUGCAAAGGUGGAAGAGCCUUUGGGUACCAGAGUAUCAUACAUUGCCACACCAGAGGAGCCUUAGGACAGGAAGCUAGAUUCUUGGAGCAUACCUGAAGCAAGGCACUAUCAGCACCAAGCAAGGCGAAACCUCCUCCAAACUAUUCACCAGAGCUGUGGCUGGAAUUGGAGGUUACAGAGAGAUGUGGAACAGGCAUCUCGUAAGUCUAUAGAAGGUGUUCUUAUCCUCGUCUAAAUCUGUAUCCUCCUUCUAUAAUCAAAAUUUCAGUUUCCAGCAUCUGGGUGGUUCAUUCGGUUAAGUGUCUGCCUUCAGCUCAGGUCAUGAUCUUGGGGCCAUGGGAUCAAGCCCUACAUCAGGCUCUGUGUUCAGCAUGGAGUCUGCUUGUCCCUCUCCUCCCUGGCUCAUGUGUGCUCUCUUUCUGUCUCUCAAACAAAUAAAUAAAAUCUUAAAAAAAAAAAAAAAAAGUCCAGAACAAGGUUAGCAAAAGGCUUAAAUUAGAAGGUUAAAGGUAUUAGACGAUGUAUGUUAAUAAUCAUUCUAACCUGGAGUGAUGUUGAUUAGAAAUUGAUAGGAGAACUUGGAAGAUUCAAAAAUGAUUCAACUUGAAAAAUUGGACCAUUGGAUAGAGAUAUUAGACUUUGCUGAAACUCAUGUAAUCUCAGAAACAAUCAUGAAUUGUUUGGGGGGAAAUGGAAAAAUAAAAUUAACCAUUUAUGUGUCUCUGUGA